UACGGAGGAUGCGAGCGUUAUCCGGAUUUAUUGGGUUUAAAGGGUGCGUAGGCGGGCUGUUAAGUCAGCGGUCAAAUGUCGGGGCUCAACCCCGGCCUGCCGUUGAAACUGGCGGCCUCGAGUGGGCGAGAAGUAUGCGGAAUGCGUGGUGUAGCGGUGAAAUGCGUAGAUAUCAGGAGGAACACCAGUGGCGAAGGCGGCUUACUGGACUGUAACUGACGUUGAGGCGCGAAAGCGUGGGGAGCAAACAGG
rnacentral:rRNA from 1 species